AUUGAACGCUGGCGGCAGGCCUAACACAUGCAAGUCGAACGAGUGGCGGACGGGUGAGUAAUGUCUGGGAAACUGCCCGAUGGAGGGGGAUAACUACUGGAAACGGUAGCUAAUACCGCAUACCAUCGGAUGUGCCCAGAUGGGAUUCGCUAGUAGGUGGGGUAACGGCUCACCUAGGCGACGAUCACUCGCUGGUCUGAGAGGAUGACCAGCCACGCUGGAACUGAGACACGGUCCAGACUCCUACGGGAGGCAGCAGUGGGGAAUAUUGCACAAUUGGCGCGGGCCUGAUGCAGGCAUGCCGCGUGUAUGAAGAAGGCCUUCGGGUUGUAAAGUACUUUCAGCGAGGAGGCGUUACUCGCAGAAGAGGCACCGGCUAACUCCGUGCCAGCAGCCGCGGUAAUUC
rnacentral:rRNA from 1 species